AUGUGUCCGGUCAAUGUCUGGGCGUGUCAUUGUGAGCCCCUAUAUGUCCGUUCAUGUAACCAUGCUCCUCAUUUUCACCCCUAUAUGUCCGGUCACAUACAUGUGAUUGGUGAAGAUGGAGAGAGAGAGAGAAGAAGAAGAAGAAGAAGAAGAAGAAGAAGAAAGAGUAAAGAAAGAGAAAAUAUGGUUUGGGGUGGGCCACGUCCUACGUGGCAGACUGAUCAUGUGCAUCCAGACGCGUGCGCGAGCCCUCAUAUCGUCCCCAUAUAUAGUCUGAAUAUGAGGGUUCAUGGACAGCUCGGAUGUAUAGAGAUGAUACGAGGGCUCCGGUUCUAUUACCUUUUUUCUUCUAUCUACUGUUCGAGCACUGGUUGGACACGUCCAUGGAUGUUUGAGUAUGAUUUGAGGUGA
rnacentral:rRNA from 1 species